UGCCAGCCGCCGCGGUAAUACGAGAUGUGCGAGCGUUGUUCGGAAUCACUGGGCAUAAAGGGUUCGUAGGUGGUUUUGUAAGUUAGGUGUGAAAUGCCCCGGCUCAACCGGGGAACUGCAUUUAAUACUGCAGAACUUGAGGGUGAGAGGCAAGUGGAAUUCCAGGUGUAGCGGUGGAAUGCGUAGAUAUCUGGGAGAACGCCAAAGGCGAAGGCAGCUUGCUGGGUCACUCCUGACACUGAGGAACGAAAGCUAGGGGAGCGAACAGGAUUAGAUA
rnacentral:rRNA from 1 species